rnacentral:lncRNA from 1 species
UCAGUUAUAAUAAAAAUAGAGAUCUUAACAUCAGAAUUCUGCUGUUAACUCUUCAAGGUUUCUCUGUGCCAUCCAAGCCACACAUAGGGUUUGAAGCACCAAAUCCACAAGUUUCUACAACCAGGUUUAAAUAAACAAAAACUGAAGACUGAAGGAUGCCAAAGUAACUGUUCUUAAAUGAAGCUGUAACACAAAGUUCUCCCCAAAACUCAGGGUAUUAAGCGUCUAGUUCAAGCACUGCCAGGCUAGGGCAUCAUCCAGGAUACCAAGGCCGAGCAGGGAUCCCUUUGCCAUCAUGACUUUUAAAAAGUUGCAGCCCCCCUUGUGAUUGGUCGAGGCAGGGUCAGUGCCGAACCUGGGGUUUGAGCGGAGGAAGGGAGCCUCCUCCUGGGCAAGGAGGCUCUAUCUUCAGUGUGAACAGUUCUCCUUUCAGAGCACUCUCUCAGGGCCGACCUGGUUUCUCAGGAUCCAUUCCCUUGCCCAGAAGAGAGAGCCUCACUCCGACCCAGUAACAGUGAAAGAAGAGUCGACCUACCUGUGGAACCAGACACAACAUGGUCCCCAAAGGCCGCUUAAGCGACCCCACUGCAACUGACAAGUCAACUUGCGCACUUAAAGCGUAUCAGUUUAUGGAACGCUUGUUUGAAGUCCUCAUUGGACAUGGUAUAGAUGAUGGGGUUGAUGAGGGAGUUCAGAUAGCCCAGCCACGUGAAAAAGUCAAAGAUGGCCAAGUGGAACCAACAGGCAUCCUUGCAAAUCGGCAUCACCAAGGAGAUGAUGAAGAAGGGCAGCCAACACACAAUAAACGCUCCCAGAAUGAUCCCCAGGGUUUUGGUGGCUUUGCGCUCCCUAGCGGCCAUGAGUUUCUUCUUCUCCACUAGAGCGUCGGAGACUCGCACUUUGACUUGGUUCACGUACACAGGAGACCCCGACUCGCUGGGCACGUCGGGAGCCCGCGAGUUAAUGGAGGUGACCGAGGACGUGGACCCGGGGGAGUCGGUCAUCAGCUGGGCUCGGGUCAGACGCUUGCCGGUCCUAUUGGGCGUCUGUUUCAAAAUCCGGGAGCGGGCUUCCACAUAGAUGCGGCUGUAGAGGGCGAUGAGGAGCAAGGUGGGGAAGUAGAAAGCGCCCACCGUGGAGUAGACCGUGUAGAGGAUGUGGUCGGUGUUCACCAAACAGUCCAACACUUCUUCCUCGGCUUUGGCCUGGCGCCAAAAGAAGGGCGGCAGCGAGAUGGAGAUGGAGAAGACCCACACCAGCGCGAUCAUGACUGCCGCCCUCUUGGGAGUCCUUUUAGCUGAGUACUCCACGGCGUCCGUGAUGGCCCAGUAGCGGUCCAGGGCGAUGACACAGAGGUGCAGGAUGGAAGCAGUGCAACAGGUGAUAUCAGACGACAGCCAGAAGUCGCAGACCACCUGGCCCAGCGUCCAGCGGCCGGUGACCACAUACAUGGUGCUGAUGGGCAUCACCAGGAUGGAUACGAGCAGGUCAGUGACAGCCAGGGAGGCGAUCAGGUAGUUGGCCGGGGUAUGCAGCUUCCGCGUCCGGUACACAGUGGCGAUCACAAAUGCGUUGGAGAGCGUGGUGGCCAAGGUGAUGAGCGCCAGCAGCACGACGAGCAGCACUUUCCAGGGCAGGGCGACGGAGUCCUGGUAAACGUAGCCCUCGGUGCUGCAGUUGUGGGAGGGAGCGGCGGAGAGGUUGACUUGAGAAACCCCAGUCUGGGAGCCCGCGGGCGGCGGCGGGGCGCACUGAGCGCCCGUUUCCUCCAUGUCUCUCCUCGCCCUGGCCCCGGAGCACAGCUCUCAGGCAUGGAGCGGACGAGGAAGAGGGCGGAAGGACCGUGGAGGAGACCACAGUCUUAUCCCUCGGUUGCUAGUCAGUUCCCUGGGUCCCUUAAUUACCCCUGCACCCAGGUUCCCAGCUGAAAGUAGAGGUCAAGGGCGAGGCGGGCGAGGCAGGCGGACACGUCCGCUGCGCUUCCAGUGUGCCCGGCGCGGCCGCCGCGUCUCUGGCGGCUCCUCUCCACGCCCCGUCUUAGCCCUGGGUUGCUAAGGACUGGCCUACCGAGCCCCGCUCCUCUCCUGCUCCAAGCCGGGCGUCUAGUGGCCGAGCGCGGUGUUUUGAGGAGGGAGCAUCAGCCAGGUGCGGUCUCUUACCCCAAGUGUUCGGGGUUGAGAGUCUCCUAACCCGGGCGCUCCUUAAUCUGCAGACUUGGCCCACAGGAGUUUCUCAGCUGUCGAGACCAAAGCUUGCAGGCCCGCGAGGAGUCUUGGUCUUGCGUUCCCGCCCCCCUCCCCAGCCUGGGGCAGUUUCCUGCGGCAGCUGCAGCCGCCCGAGCUGGGUGGGGUGAAGUCUGCGAGCCGGGCUGCGCCGCUCUUUGCGCCAGAGCUCUGCCCUCCCUUCUUUUCAAGCGCUGGCCACUCCGGCGAGCUGCCCCGCGGAGACGGGGCCGCACGAGGGGGGACUCGGGGCCCGGGGCUGCGGCUGCUUGCACCGCGCCGCCGCCACCUCGGUCCCACGGGCACCACUCGGAGCCAUGUCUCUGGGCGCACGGGUCUGGGGGACCCGGCGCGGCACGCCCGCCAGGGGCAGGUGUCUGGGAGAGCUGGAGGGAGGCUGCGUGCGCCAGCCCGGGAGGAGCGUGUGAGCCGCGGAGCAGGUGGGCUCCUUUUAUAGAGUCCAGGUCCGGUCCGCCGGAGCCGUGCAACUCGUGCGGCGCAGCGAGUGCAGACACCCGCUUCCCAUCACCUUCCUUUUUUCUCUCUCCCUGCCCCCUUUCCUCCCUCCCGGUUCCCUCCCUGGCCAAGGAAGCUCCCGCCCGGUCCUACCGCCCUCUGUCCCCACUUCCCAUCCCCUGGCCCCUCUCGGGAUCCCGACACCCAGCCGCCGCAGUUUGGCCCGGGAAUGGGGAUGAGGGCGUCCUGUCCUUGCUUCCGUCCUCUUCCGAGCUGCUGCGCGCCCCUCCAGUUACACCCACGCCCUGAGCCUCCGGCACAGGCACAGACCCCACUUUCCUUCCUAGGCUCCGAC